UCGCCUGUUUAUCAAAAACAUGUCCUUUUGGGAAAAAUUGAAGGUCUAGCCUGCCCACUGAAUGUUUUGAAGGGCCGCGGUAUUCUGACCGUGCAAAGGUAGCAUAAUCAUUAGUCUCUUUAUUGGGGGCUAGAAUGAAUGGCUGGACGAGGUACUGACUGUCUCAUUGUAGAUGAGGGUAGAAUUUAACUUUUAAGUUAGAAGGCUUAAUUGAAUUUGAAGGACGAGAAGACCCUAUAGAGCUUUAUACCAAGAGUGUAUUGAGUGUGUAGAUGGUGUGGCUUGUUACAUUAAUUGGUAUUUUAUUGGGGUGAUGGGAAGACUAAAUGAACUCUUUUUAAUAUAAAGUCAUUGAUGUAUGAAUAGUUGAUCCGUUAUUAGUGAUUAUAAGACUAAGUUACCUUAGGGAUAACAGCGUAAUCUUUUUUGAGAGUUCUGAUCGACAAGAAGGGUUGCGACCUCGAUGUUGGAUUAAGGUUAAAUUUGGGUGUAGAUGUUCAAANNUUUAAGUCUGUUCGACUUUUAAAUCCUUACAUGAUCUGAGUUCAAACCGGAGA
rnacentral:rRNA from 1 species